AGCACGGAAGGGUUUCAGGGCCUCCAGGGACAUUGACGGCGGUUGAAGUUUAGGUUCGGCGGGAUACCGGCAGCAGAAGGAGUUCAGGCCUCCGGUCGGGGACAAAGUGGCCACUCAGGGACAGCAGGCAGGCUAGAGGUAGGUUGGCGACAUUAAUCUAGCGGGUACAAAAAAUAAAUAAAUGGCUUUGUAAAAGGAAAUUCAACGCCAGCAAGCGACAAAUCGGUGUUGUCGUUUGGUGAGGUCGGAUAAUGUCAACGUGGUACACCGUUGCAGGGUCGUCAGCGCCAUCAAGAAGGUCCUUGUGACAGUACCGUGUUAAACAAAGCGUCUAAAGUAUAGUUUAAAAGCAAAUCCAUAUAGAACUCUAGGCAUUGAGAUUUACAUAGCUAAGAAAUAGGACUCAUGAACAUUGCUGGUCCUCUUAUGACAUCUUAGUUUUAAAGUGUAAAAACUCGACAAAUUUAAACUUAAACGAGUUUAAACUUAAAUUGGAAAACCUGCGAUAUAGAAAGUUUAGCAAGUAGGUUUAAUCAACUAAGAAAAACGUGACACUAGUAUGAUCGUACAUCUAUACUAUAUGGAUGACAAUGUAAAACAAUUAGUACAAAAAUAAACUUAAGGAACGACAACUGAAAUAACACCACAAUACAUUCAUACUAAAUAAAUAGUCACGGAGGCAAUUAGCUCUUUAUUCUCUAGGUCAGUUAGGAUCUGCGAGAGUCUCGAGUGCGCUAAGACCGGCAGGCUAAGUAAAUGAACUACGCAAAAGCCCGCAGGCUAGCUCGGGAGCCUACUAGACCCGGCGGCCUAGUAUUGGCUCGGGGACAUCGUUACUUGUCAAAGUGAAGCGCCAUUUAUAGACGACGGUGGCGGCCAAUUAUGUCGUGGGGCGGCUCCCGUUAAAACCCUAAAGUGGAUCCGGCCACCUUGCACGGGAGAGGGCUAAGCGGCGGGAGAGGGGUUAGCUUCUCUGCGCAUCCCAAACUGGAGAGGAGCGAAGAAAGGGCGUACAGAGAGAGAGCGUCAGCAGCAGCGGCGGUCGGUAGGAGGGGUAGCGGGGGAAAGGGGCGGGCAGGGCGAGCGGCACCGGAAGCGGCUACUGGCGCCGGGACGCGUCGUGUCACGGCUCGAGUACUCUUACUCUCCUCUCCUCGGCGGUGGGUUGGGUUGGGUAGGUUGGUUCCUCGGGCAGGGUAGGGUGAGGGGUGCUGCAGAGGGGAGGGUAGAGAGAGCGUGGGUGGAGCGGCGGCCGGUACCGGCGGGAGUAGGAGAGGAGGGGAGGGGAGGGGAGGAGAGGAGGAGGGGGCAGUAGUCUUCUCUUCUGUUCUGCUCUACCUCCCUCUAGGUGGCGCUGAGUCGACCAGUCCGCCGCGCGGGUCUAGGCCGGAACGAGACCGGUAGCGGCUACUCGACGCGGGUCAAGUCGGUACCGCGCUGGCUCGUCCGCUCCUCCCUCUGAUCGAUCCUCAGGGGGGAGAGAGAGAGCCCCCCGCGGCGGGAAGUAGACGAGGGCGCUACCGCGGCCUAGGUGUAGGUGUCGGUGCCGCGGCCGUGGGUACCUCACUGGCACACGAAGAAGAGGUACCUGUACCUCGAGGGUGUUGUGUGGUACCUUCCGGACCUCGAGGAAGAGUGUCGUCCACGUGGCGCAUGUCCUCCCUUCUGGUUGCGAGGAGGCCCAGACGAAGAAGGGCCCAGCGGCAACGAGGUGCCUUCCGCCUUUCAGUAUCUUCUACCAAGUAAUCGAAGUUUGUCUAGUCACCAAUGACUUAGUCAGAGUUUUAGAACAAGGAGGCGUCUUCACUUUCUACUUCUACGACGUUAACGUCAACACUAACUACGUCGACUUGAAUUUACCCCUCUCGUCAGUAAAUCCUCUCCUGUUCGAGGACCUUCCAAAUGUAGUCCUGCGGUAUUACCGGUACCUAGUAGUCUUUCCCUCCGUGGAGGUGGGCCGAUACACACGGCGUCGACGCCUCAAGGUCCGGUAAAGUAAGUUGUAACGGGUGUCCUUUUGGUCUACGGAGGUGGAUCGAUAUGGACGAUGUCUACGGCCCAAGGUCCCGUAAAAUAAGUCGUAACGGGUUGGUAACCGCCAAGGUUCCGUCAAAUAUAAAUGACACUAUGAGACUUGUACUCCUGGUACACCUGAUUUGAACGUACACCCACGUGGUUCCUCUUCCAGGGUGAAUAGUUCCCUAUUGUUGAUUAACCAGUCUGAAACACUUCUGUCCCCAACCUAUUAAACCUCUUACAGAAACGUAAGUUCCGAUUUUCCCCGUUUCACAGCGAGCAACAGAUGGACAAAACUGUUCCUUCGACUUCCACAAUGGUAAGUACCUGUACCUUGUCUUCGACGGGCCUAUAACACUGUUGUUUACCUCCAAUUUAGCCCUUCGCUUUCGGUCCUGAUAAUAGAACACUACACCGAAAGAACAUAGUGUAAACGGAACGAAGAGGACUUUCUCUAUGGUAAAACAACCACAAAUGACCAAUUAGGAAAACGUAUACAAAUGCCUACCUAUGAGCUACAAGAGCCAAGUAUAGCAACGACUAUGAACGGAAGAGAACGACUAAAGGGUUUAGUACGUGUAUCGAUAAAAUCAUACCCAAUGUUAUAGGGAAACAUUUUUUCGUAUAUACAUACAAUGGAAAACACACUCACUUUAUAAGUAGUCGUAACAUCACCUGUAUACGAGAAACAUGAUUUAAACUACAAAAGAUGACUUAGUAAGCUAAGAACCAUGGCCUGAUUACGAAGGUACUCUUUAUCGUCCGCGACCUAGUAACGGCAUCUAUCAGAAGGAGUACACAGAAACUCUUUAGGAUUACGAUCUAGUCACCGAGUUUAAAACGAAAACAUAGAUAAACCGCGGUGAGAUAGAUAUAGAAAAAACAUGGUGGAAGUAACGUUAAUGCUUAUGUUACAAACCAGCCUGUAUUCCAAGCUGACGAAACUCAACAAAUGUCCCGUGUGACUCAACAAAAUCAAGACUACUUCUACAGCAACCUAGCUACAACAAGAAUGUGGAAACUAAACUAUGUAAAUAAUGGUCCAACCUAUGCUGGCGUAGCCGUCCCCACGUCCAACGCCGUUCGGCGUCGAAGGUAGAUCAGUAUAUCUAACAGGUCUCACGCUUCGUCUAGUCUUAAUUAGCAAUCCCAUGGAGUUGUAGCAAGUUCCGUUCAAACGUGAAAACUAAAACGAGUAACAUAUAAUACGAUACGUACACACUAAAAUUCGAUACCAUUUGCAAACCGGACUAUACACAUAGAGUACAACAGUACAAACCAUAACUAACACAAUACACUACCACACUAGUUGAACGAUACCAUCUGCACCCGUACACAGCUCACUAGGUACUAUCACCACUCACAAAUAUCUACAUCCGAACCCUAAUAAUUUAUCCACUUACGCAGUAACCGUCUCGCGAGAUAACAGGGAUCUCUUACGUAGUAACUGUCUCGUGUGAACUCCGCUCCAUAUCAAAAACCUUGAAUUUAGACCACUUACGCAGGAACCAUCUUAGGGAGAGAGGGCACGGCAAAGCGGAGCAAGUCUAGAGUUCCCUCAAGUGGCGGGAAACUUCGAAGACAGCCAGCUAACGUAGCGAAAACCUCCAAGGGUCGAAGAGGAGGACGGGGGAGAGAGGGCACAACAAAGCGGAGCAAGUCUAUAGCAGCCUCAAGCGGCGGCAGACUUCGUAGGUAGCCAACUAACGUAGCGGAGACCUCCCUUUGUGAUGUGACUCAGGUAGCUCGAGCAAGCCUCGAGUUGAGGCGACGGCGGCGAGGUCGGCCAACGGUGGCAACCCCCUCGUUCGGGGUAAGUGGGGACGCCUGCACAAACUCAAGUGGCUGCGGAUGCUGUGGAACAGGACGGAAGGAUCUCAGAGCCUCCAGGGACAUUGACGGCGGUCGAAGUUUAGGUUCGGCGGGAUACCAGCAGCAGAAGGAGUUCAGGCCUCCGGUCGGGGUCAAAGAGGCCACUCAGGGACAGCAGGCAGGCUAGAGGUAGGUUGACUACAAUAAUCUAGCGGGUACAAAUAAAUAAAUAAAUGGUUUUGUAAAAGGCAAUUCAACGCCGGUAAGCGGCAAAUCGGUGUUGUCGUUUGGUGAGGUCGGAUAAUGUCAACGCGGUACACUGUUGCAGUGUUGUUGACACCAUCAAGAAGGUCCUUGUGACAGUACCGUGUUAAACAAAGCAUCUAAAGUAUAGUUUAAAAGCAAAUCCAUAUAGAACUCUAGGUAUUGAGAUUUAAGUAGCUAAGAAAAAGG
rnacentral:rRNA from 1 species